GGCGGCACGGACACCGGCGGGCGGGGCCCGGCUGCCUGCCACCGCGAGCCCCUCGGCCGGGUGGUUUCAGGCCGACUUUGUAAGGUUGGAAAGAACCUGAGUCUGUGCAUUCAUGGCAACCGGGAGACUCCGGUAGUGAUAGCAACGGCCGCUGCGUGGCUAAACGAAAAGCAUCCGUGCUUUUCAGCCGAAGAGCAGGCGAAGAACGAGCACGUCGCUUCCCUUGGUGGGAUGUUCAGUGCUGGGUGGUGUUCGGGUAUCUAAACACGGGGAAAAAAACCGUUAUGCUCCCGCUGUUAAUUCCAGAAGCUUCAGAACUUCGUUUCGUCUGCCACGGCGUUGAUGGCAUCAUCAGAGAUGCCUUCAGAUGCAACAAGAAGGGCGCUUCGUACCUCCUUGUGUUAAGCUGAGGGGCCAGACUGGAUUUCCUUACUGCAGUUUCACAUGGCUGCUGUCGUUGGUUAUGGCUCACUUAUAAUGCUGCCAAUGUACAUUUUUUUUCAGAGUUUUUUUUUUUUUCACUUUACCUUCAUUACAAGAUUGGUGUUUUUCUGGUUUACCCCUUCCCUGUUCUCCUCCCAUUUGUUCCUAUCCGUAAUCUGUUCGUAGUAGUUCGUAAUAAUAAUCUAUUCGUAAAUAUUUUCACUUGGAAUGUUCCAACACGAGGUGCUAAUCCUGAAAACCUCUGGAGGAGUUCAUUGAUUGACUGCACGAAAACCAAUAGGAACAGCGGUCGUGGAUGGUUACUCACACCAUCGACAGAAGCAGUGCAAGGAUCCGAGCUCACAGACAGCUUCUUCUGAAGAAGCGAACUCUUGGAUAGAUGGAAUUUGCACAGAAGAUACCUUUUUGGGUUGGAGCCAGGAGGAAACGUAAGCAAGUAUUCAUUGCAAAUGUCAUUCAGAUUGGCAUUUGGAAAUGUAUAAGGGUACGCCAUCUAAAAGAGCAGUUCCCAAACUCUGAUCUGGAAGACUAAGCAAAAUGAUGUUGGGGCCAUACGUCCACGUGGGCUGGGCCAUUCUGGGGCUAUGGAACAGCACCACGGUGUCCCCACUGCCACGUAACCUGGUGAGACUGCUGUGAGAAUCUGCUGCUUGCAAAAUGAUUCACGAAAGGAGUUUGAGAAUAAGUCAUAUCACGCAUCGUGCAGUGAAAUGUAAUCAGACUACAAAACGCAGUGAUCAGUGAAUGAAAUGAGUGCAGUCCAUACUGAGACUUGCCAUGCACCGGACACACGGGUCGCUGCUAAGCAGUGUGUGUGCUGCUGGAUGAAGGAAAACAUGUGGGAGAGCUGCAUGGCAUAAACCAUACAGGCUCCUAAAAUAAUUAGUUUGAUCCAAUUCUGGUGUGUGGUUGGUGUGCUGCUUGAAAGGUGUCUGUGUUAGAAACGAAAUAUAAAAGACUGGCACCCGUACACUCUCUGUGCAAGAACCAAUCUGAAGUAGACUUCUGUUUCUUUAGAUUUGCAGUACUUGAGUGGGAAAGCUAAAUAAAGUCCUGCCUAGACUUCUCUGCA
ensembl:lncRNA